UUCCAAAAGAUAAUUUCACCUUUAAACAUCCAGGAGCGAUGAGUCAUGCUCGUUGGAUGUCGAAGGUAAUUUAUUGCCUGAAAAUAUAUAUUUUUAGGGGAGAAUUUAAGCUGACCCCUCAUGAAUUAACUAGUAUUCGCCAACUGCAAAUAAUGACUUAAUUUUGAUGCAACAAUUGAUACUCUAUGAUAAAAUUAAUUCAUCUGUAUCAAAAGGAGCUUUAAA